AUACGUAGGGUGCGAGCGUUGUCCGGAAUUACUGGGCGUAAAGAGCUCGUAGGUGGUUUGUCGCGGCGUCUGUGAAAUUCCGGGGCUUAACUCCGGGCGUGCAGGCGAUACGGGCAUAACUUGAGUACUGUAGGGGAGACUGGAAUUCCUGGUGUAGCGGUGAAAUGCGCAGAUAUCAGGAGGAACGCCGGUGGCGAAGGCGGGUCUCUGGGCAGUAACUGACGCUGAGGAGCGAAAGCAUGGGUAGCGAACAGGAUUAGAUACCCUGGUAGUCCAUGCCGUAAACGGUGGGCGCUAGGUGUAGGGGUCUUCCACGACUUCUGUGCCGUAGCUAACGCAUUAAGCGCCCCGCCUGGGGAGUACGGCCGCAAGGCUAAAACUCAAAUGAAUUGACGGGG
rnacentral:rRNA from 1 species